AUGAGGCCCCAGGUGCUGCUCGCUGCGUUGGCCGUCGUCGCCCUCCUCGCAGCUGCUCUGCCUCUCGCCCACAGCCAAGGUGCGACCCCAAGUGCGUCGUUGUGCUGCAACAACUGUGGCACCUGCACCAGGUCUAUCCCGCCCAGGUGCACGUGCAUGGACGCAUCGCCCAGCGGCUGCAACCCGGCUUGCAAGACCUGCGACAAGACCACCGUCGCCGGCCGCGACAGCUUCCAGUGCAAGGACCGUGUCGCAAACUUCUGCCAGCGCAGCUGCACUAAGGCCCCGUGA
rnacentral:rRNA from 1 species